GUCGAACGCGUCUCCGUUGAUGAUUUCAGGUGCUUGCACCUGAGAGAUUUAACAUUGAGACGAGUGGCGAACUGGUGAGUAACACGUGGGUAACCUGCCCUUGAAGUAGGGGAUAACACUUGGAAACAGGUGCUAAUACCGUAUAACAACCAAAACCACCUGGUUUUGGUUUAAAAGACGGCUUCGGCUGUCACUUUAGGAUGGACCCGCGGCGUAUUAGCUUGUUGGUAAGGUAACGGCUUACCAAGGCGAUGAUACGUAGCCGACCUGAGAGGGUAAUCGGCCACAUUGGGACUGAGACACGGCCCAAACUCCUACGGGAGGCAGCAGUAGGGAAUCUUCCACAAUGGACGAAAGUCUGAUGGAGCAACGCCGCGUGAGUGAUGAAGGGUUUCGGCUCGUAAAACUCUGUUGUUGGAGAAGAACAGGUGUCAGAGUAACUGUUGACAUCUUGACGGUAUCCAACCAGAAAGCCACGGCUAACUACGUGCCAGCAGCCGCGGUAAUACGUAGGUGGCAAGCGUUGUCCGGAUUUAUUGGGCGUAAAGCGAGCGCAGGCGGUUUUUUAGGUCUGAUGUGAAAGCCUUCGGCUUAACCGGAGAAGUGCAUCGGAAACCGGGAGACUUGAGUGCAGAAGAGGACAGUGGAACUCCAUGUGUAGCGGUGAAAUGCGUAGAUAUAUGGAAGAACACCAGUGGCGAAGGCGGCUGUCUGGUCUGUAACUGACGCUGAGGCUCGAAAGCAUGGGUAGCGAACAGGAUUAGAUACCCUGGUAGUCCAUGCCGUAAACGAUGAGUGCUAAGUGUUGGAGGGGUUCCGCCCUUCAGUGCUGCAGCUAAC
rnacentral:rRNA from 1 species